GGCAAGAUGGCCGAGCGGUCUAAGGCGCUGUGUUCAGGUUUCUCCUCUAGGACAAACUUCGCAGUGGAGCAAUCCGCGCGAGUUCGAAUCUCGUUCUUGUCA
rnacentral:tRNA from 1 species